AGUUGUAAGGGUGAUCAGGCUGCAACAUCUGUCACCCCAUUGAUUACCAAGGCUUAUUUGGCUGGUCUGGCUGGCUGGAUGGGUAUUCCCUUCCUUCCUCACUGCUCCAUGUGUGUCCCUCCUGAAACUGUGUGGUUGGUAGAAAAAGAUGAUAUUCUCUGAUAGCGGAGGAUUACUCCUCAGACAAGUGUAUAUGAGUAGCUGCUCUUCCCUGCUAGAACCUCCAAAGAAGUUCUCUCUUUCAAAAAAUAUAUAUAUAAAUAUGUGGGUAAAAUAUAUUACCCACAUUAU
rnacentral:snRNA from 1 species